rnacentral:antisense_RNA from 2 species
UGUUAUGGCGGCUGUGCGCGGGAGGCCCUAGGGCCUGCCGGUUUUGGUGAGUUGACCGGUUUUUCCAGUCCGCGCACAGCUGCCACCCUU